AUACUUACCUGGGCGGGGCCUAUCGCUGAUCAUGAAGGGCGAUGACCUAGGAUGAGCCUCUCCAUUGCACUAAGGAUUGGCGAGUUCUAGCAUUUCUCAAACGAGAAAUUGCACGUCAGAAUUUGUUAAGAGGAGGGCUCGCGUUCGCGCGGCCCUCCA
rnacentral:snRNA from 1 species